AGAGUUUGAUCCUGGCUCAGGACGAACGCUGGCGGCGUGCCUAAUACAUGCAAGUGGGACGCAAGGAAACACACUGUGCUCGCACACCGUGUUUUCUUGAGUCGCGAACGGGUGAGUAACGCGUAGGUAACCUGCCUAUUAGCGGGGGAUAACUAUUGGAAACGAUAGCUAAUACCGCAUAAUAUUAAUUAUUGCAUGAUAAUUGAUUGAAAGAUGCAAGCGCAUCACUAGUAGAUGGACCUGCGUUGUAUUAGCUAGUUGGUAAGGUAAGAGCUUACCAAGGCGACGAUACAUAGCCGACCUGAGAGGGUGAUCGGCCACACUGGGACUGAGACACGGCCCAGACUCCUACGGGAGGCAGCAGUAGGGAAUCUUCGGCAAUGGACGAAAGUCUGACCGAGCAACGCCGCGUGAGUGAAGAAGGUUUUCGGAUCGUAAAGCUCUGUUGUAAGUCAAGAACGUGUGUGAGAGUGGAAAGUUCACACAGUGACGGUAGCUUACCAGAAAGGGACGGCUAACUACGUGCCAGCAGCCGCGGUAAUACGUAGGUCCCGAGCGUUGUCCGGAUUUAUUGGGCGUAAAGGGAGCGCAGGCGGUCAGGAAAGUCUGGAGUAAAAGGCUAUGGCUCAACCAUAGUGUGCUCUGGAAACUGUCUGACUUGAGUGCAGAAGGGGAGAGUGGAAUUCCAUGUGUAGCGGUGAAAUGCGUAGAUAUAUGGAGGAACACCAGUGGCGAAAGCGGCUCUCUGGUCCGUCACUGACGCUGAGGCUCGAAAGCGUGGGUAGCGAACAGGAUUAGAUACCCUGGUAGUCCACGCCGUAAACGAUGAGUGCUAGGUGUUAGGCCCUUUCCGGGGCUUAGUGCCGGAGCUAACGCAAUAAGCACUCCGCCUGGGGAGUACGACCGCAAGGUUGAAACUCAAAGGAAUCGACGGGGGCCCGCACAAGCGGUGGAGCAUGUGGUUUAAUUCGAAGCAACGCGAAGAACCUUACCAGGUCUUGACAUCCCGAUGCUAUUCUUAGAGAUAGGAAGUUACUUCGGUACAUCGGAGACAGGUGGUGCAUGGUUGUCGUCAGCUCGUGUCGUGAGAUGUUGGGUUAAGUCCCGCAACGAGCGCAACCCUUAUUGUUAGUUGCCAUCAUUAAGUUGGGCACUCUAGCGAGACUGCCGGUAAUAAACCGGAGGAAGGUGGGGAUGACGUCAAAUCAUCAUGCCCCUUAUGACCUGGGCUACACACGUGCUACAAUGGUCGGUACAACGAGUUGCGAGCCGGUGACGGCAAGCUAAUCUCUGAAAGCCGACCUCAGUUCGGAUUGGAGGCUGCAACUCGCCUCCAUGAAGUCGGAAUCGCUAGUAAUCGCGGAUCAGCACGCCGCGGUGAAUACGUUCCCGGGCCUUGUACACACCGCCCGUCACACCACGAGAGUUUGUAACACCCGAAGUCGGUGAGGUAACCUUUUAGGGGCCAGCCGCCUAAGGUGGGAUGGAUGAUUGGGGUGAAGUCGUAACAAGGUA
rnacentral:rRNA from 1 species